UUGUGCUGCCGAUUCUAGUGUCGUUCUGUUGCGAGUGCAUCGACAGUCGUAUUGCUCUGAGUGUGUCGUCGGUCGUCGUGUAUCUGUGAGUGGGUCGAUUGCGGUGUUGCUAUCUUCUUUUUCGUUUGUCUUGGUUAUUGGAUGUCAAAGGUGUAACAAAGAUUAUUGUGUUGUUGGCGAUGAAGAGUCAAAUUUUAGCCGGUGGAAGUGGCUUGGGAACUUUUAACAGUGGCCUUAAAGGAGGAGUACAAAUUGUUAAGACUGAAUAGGUUGAAGACAUAUCGGUCCUAUCUCCAGUCCUAUAAUCCUUAACAGAGGUUAACUUGCAAAGUUUUAUGAAAUUGGAAUAAUGGAUCUCAAGAACCAAGUGGAUCGCCAGAAAGUGUUUGUACCACCUUCGAAGCAUUUAACCAACGCUACAUGGCUGUGAUGAGAAUGACAUAGAUGAUGAACUUCAAGAGGACUACAUAGGUGUUGAAUCUCAAGAGGACGACAUAGAUGAUGAUGAGGAUGAUGGAUUGGAGAUGAUGCUGAAUUCGAGAAACUUAAAUGAGUUGGAUGAUG